GAUGAACGCUAGCGGCAGGCUUAAUACAUGCAAGUCGAGGGGUAACAUGGUAGCAAUACUGAUGACGACCGGCAAACGGGUGCGGAACACGUACAGAACCUUCCUUUAAGCGGGGGAUAGCCCAUAGAAAUGUGGAUUAAUACCCCAUAGUAAUACUGGCUGGCAUCAGUUGGUAUUUAAAGAUCUAUCACUUAAAGAUGCUGUGCGGCUGAUUAGGGUAGUUGGGUGGGUAACGGCCCACCAAGCCAACGAUCAGUAACUGGUGUGAGAGCACGACCAGUCACACGGGCACUGAGACACGGGCCCGACUCCUACGGGAGCAGCAGUAAGG
rnacentral:rRNA from 1 species